ACGACUCUCGGCAACGGAUAUCUCGGCUCUCGCAUCGAUGAAGAACGUACCGAAAUGCGAUACUUGGUGUGAAUUGCAGAAUCCCGUGAACCAUCGAGUCUUUGAACGCAAGUUGCGCCCGAAGCCGUCAGGCCAAGGGCACGUCUGCCUGGGUGUCACGCA
rnacentral:rRNA from 1 species